GGAUGGCAUUUUUGGGAUUCCCAGGCAAUUUCAAUGGGUGUUCAUGGUAGUUGUUGUGCUGCUCGGCUUUGGAGGAUUCCAGUGUUUAAACUGUAGAGGGUCAAUGGAGUUCUCACUGAAGGAACGCUGGAGCAGUUCAGUGAUGUGCAUUGUGGCAGCUCGCGCAGUGUCCUUGGCAGCUUCCAGUUGUUCCAUGCAGUGAGUUUGUGGAGGAGUUGCAGUGCAAGUGAUGGAAUGUGCACUGCUCUGAUUGAGGAAAACUCUCAGAUGGAGGGAAGACGACGACUUCUCUUUCUUUCAUUUGCUUCCUUCUUUUUUUUUUUCUCUCCCUCUUCGAAAACCAUCAAGCUUUGAUCACCUCUGAUGAGCACUCAGUCAACCACCACCACCCACAGCACCUGUCACCCACACCACUUCUUAGCCGACUAUUUCAUCCAGUCCCAUGGCCUGUCCAGCGCAGACACUUAACGGACACUGGCUUGGCGGAGAACUGCAAUGAAUUCUUCUUCUUCAGUGCUUCCUCCUGUUUAAAAUGAAUCCUCUGUUAUAUCCUACCGAACAAUCUAGGAUAGCUUUCAAUAUUUUUUUACUUUCAGGAUCCUCUCUUCGAUGGGCAGAAACACAGUGGGGACAAGGUGGUCCCAUCAUCAAUUUCAGUGAUUCAGUGAUUUCAAGGAAGUAUUUGGCCAUACAGACGGAGAAGUAUCAGCAGGUGAACAGUUGUAUCAUCUUGCACAAGGUACAAAAUAAAUUCAAGAAUACACGUUUAUGAUUUAGUACUCUCGCUGCAGCCAGCAGAUGGAACGAGAGGGCGUUUUUAAUGACCUUUCAUCAAGGUCUGGAGCAUAAACUUCGUCUCCAACUAGCUGCUCAGGAUGAAUAUUGCGGAUUGGAACAAUUUAUUCAACACACUAUUAAAUGUGCUUCCAGAAUGCAAUCCACUUACAGCGAUAUGUAUAGCACUCGCCCCCUUCCAUCAGCAAGAGCUAGGUAACCCUCCAGAACUUCUGCCGGAACCCAUGCAGAUUAAUUCUGGAAAAAUGACACCCGUUGAGCGGCAGAGGAGAAUGACCCAGGGGCUGUGACUGUAUUGUGGUACUUAAGAGCAUUACAUACGUGUAUGCCCCCACUUUCCCCCACGUCCCAUGAGAGCGGUUCAAUUACCACCACACCGGCCAUGGGACUGUGCCAUCAAUUUUAUUCCAGGUACCUCUGAGCCAGCUCCCGUUAAUCUGCCAGACUGUCCCCAGGGAAACACCAGGAACAACGCUAACAACUCAUCCACUCCACGUACUUAUCCUUGGUCACUGGCCACCCAGGGGCCAACAACACUCUCUCAAUGCUCUAAGGUCACCUGGUGGCCUGAGAUGGCCAGGGACGUGAGAAGGUAAGUGAGUGGAUGUAAGGAUUGUGUAAUGUCUAAGACUCUGUGACACUUACCAGUCGGCAAGCUAUGUCCACUUCCAAUCUCGAAUUGCCCCUGGGCACACCUGGGAGUCCACUUCAUUACUGAUAUGCCAUCCUCAGAAGGUAACAAUUAUGUUCUAGGUAUUGUGGACAGAUUUUCCAAGUUUGGUUAUUCAAUCAAUCUCUUUUAUUUAUAUAGCUUUUAACAAUAAAGAUUGUGCCAAAUCACUGAACAGUAUAAAAUAGAAAAAUUAAAUGAUAGGGAUGUUAUAAUGACGAGAUUGAACAAUUUGUUAUUAAAUGCAGAAACGGGUCUCUGUCAUCAAUUCAACGAUAAUUGCUUAUAAUUAAGUGUCCUGCCUUGGAAACUGCUGAAUGUUUAAUCACGUUUUCAAGUUAUUCAUACUCCCAGAGGAUUGUGGGCGCCAGUUCAUCUCCAGGGUGUGCAGAUCUUUCUUCUUUCUCCUGGAUGUGACCAUUAGUCUCUUAUCAGGUUUACGCCUGCAAACUAACGGACAAACGGAUAGAAAGUGGGGUGAUUCCUCUGUACCUUCUGCCAUGGCCACCAGAACUCCUGGAACCAGUUCUUGGUCUGGGUCGAGUAUGCACAGAAUUCCCUGAGGCAACCACCUACUGGACUCACUCUCUUCCAGUGUGUGCUCGGUUUCUAGCCUCCCCUAUUCUCCUAUUCUACAAAGUUCCUUUUAUGCUCUUCUGUGCAAAUAAAACUAAUACUUAUACCAUACAAUCGUAACACGUUUUGCUGUUUUAUAUGCUAUAGAUAAAGGAAUUCUGAAUGGUAUCUUUUUUAGCGAGCC